rnacentral:rRNA from 1 species
GAUGAACGCUAGCGGCAGGCUUAACACAUGCAAGUCGAGGGGUAUAUGCUUUCGGGCAUAGAGACCGGCGCACGGGUGCGUAACGCGUAUGCAAUCUGCCUUUCACAGAGGGAUAGCCCAGAGAAAUUUGGAUUAAUACCUCAUAGCAUAGCACAAUCGCAUGAUUGAGCUAUUAAAGUCACAACGGUGAGAGAUGAGCAUGCGUCCCAUUAGCUAGUUGGUAAGGUAACGGCUUACCAAGGCUACGAUGGGUAGGGGUCCUGAGAGGGAGAUCCCCCGCACUGGUACUGAGACACGGACCAGACUCCUACGGGAGGCAGCAGUGAGGAAUAUUGGUCAAUGGGCGCAAGCCUGAACCAGCCAUGCCGCGUGCAGGAUGACGGUCCUAUGGAUUGUAAACUGCUUUUGUACGGGAAGAAACACUCCUACGUGUAGGAGCUUGACGGUACCGUAAGAAUAAGGAUCGGCUAACUCCGUGCCAGCCGCCGCCGUAAAAC